CCUUUUGGUCAUGGAAGACUCCAUCUGGUUUCUAUGACUUGCAUACGACCAAAGCCAGAGGCAAAACUUCUGCCAGACAGAUGGAACUCUCCAACAUGAAAAUCUGCGCAGCCAUUCCAGCAAGCAGGACUGAGGUUGUCCGAAGGAUGCGAAGGAAAAAGAUAAGAUGACUGGGAGCUGGGAGCGCACUGACCCCACGAUUGAGGCUUUUCACUGGUCAAUACAAUGAAGACUGGCGUGAUCAUCCGCUUCGCACCAAAGGAUAUCUACUCAUCGAUGUGCUGUUAUCAAUCAGAGAUUUUCAAGUAUGAGUUCUCCAACUCAAAGAAAAGUAGCUGGGCCCAGGCAGAAAGGCAUUUGGGGAGGAACCGCAUGCCCUACAGUGCUCAUGAUGUGUGUCUCCAGAGAAAGUUGCUUCAGCACUAAAAAUAAACAAACAACAAACAACAACAACAAAAAUAUUUUGCUGCAGUAUCCUCCAAUCUCUAAACUACUAGCUGGUUUUCUAAGUUCAUCCAGAGCUCUCCCAUGUUUGAAUUCCUGGUCAUCUUCCUACUCUCUGGCUCCACAUAUGAAGAAAUAAUAGUGCAAGAAUAAAAUUAUUAGUUUCCCUCUGAUUGAAUCAUUCCAGUUUUGAAGCACCAUGUUGGAUUAAUUAGCCUUAUAAUAGCAUUUACUAUCACCCACACACUAUUUGUGGAAAAGUGCUCCUUUUGACAUUUGCCUGAUUUGCUCUUGAAGUUCAGAGCACCAUGGCAGCAUAAGGAUUGAACAAAUUUAACUUUUUCAUUGAUGAGGUGCAACUUACAGCACCGUCCUUCCCUGGCACUGUAUGCCAGCUUUUAGUUACUUGGGACCACAUCUUCCAGUGCUACAGUUCUUGUGUUAAAAGGUUUGGUGCCAUUAUAAAUUGGCAUGGAGAAGUUUGAGGAGCUUUUCCCUAGCAAUCAGGAUGUAUGUUAUAAUAAUUGAAUCCUGUAGCUGUGUUGCUUCUACUAAGUGAAAGAAAAAGAGAAUAGUUUCUAUUAUUUAUCGUCACUCAUUUUUCAUAGGCAGCCAGAUUUUUUAGUGUCUUACUAUCUUAUUUUGGAAUUUUUUUUUCAAUUCUUAUUGAUCCUUAUAGAUUAUAAUGAGAACACCACCAGUAAUAAGUUUGAGCUAAAGGACAUAAGAGGAGAUUGCCCUUUGAUUGUUAAACUUCAAGAGAAACAAAAAACAGAUCAGCAUACACGUGCAAAAUAGCUGAAAAGACCAAAGUAAUUUCUCUGCUGAAGGAUUUGACUUAAACUAGUGGAAGGUAUUAACAUAUUUAUAGAAAUAAUUUUAGCCAUAAAAAGCAGAUAUAAGAACGUCAAAAGCAAGUUAGGAAACCCUAUUCAAACAUGUUUCCAAGAUGGAGAAGGGGAUUUUAUUUUAGUGAACUUCAGUCUCAAUGACAAGACCAUUACUAUUGUGAAUGAAUUUCAGACUUUUAAACUUGAUGCUAGUAGACAUUCCAUCCAUAAAAAAUAUCUUCAUUCCAAAUUUAUGUUUUCCAAGCAAUAUUCUGAUUAUUAUUUGGCUUUCAGAUGGCUUUGCUCUGAGAAAAUACACUGAACACACAAAUUUCAUGUAUACUAUUUAAAACGGUACUUUUAAGUGAGCAAUGUUCCAGUCCUUCAGGGAGGAUUUUCUCAUUUAUAUGUCGUAAAUAAAUAAUUUGGUUUCUGGGUCAAAACAUUAAUAAUCUUUUCCUUUGCUGUGUAUGUACCUUUGAUACAAGAAUAAUUUUUUCGAAUAUUGACCAAUCAGGGUGAAAGGUUUCCAGUCAUGAGGGACAAAAUCAGAAUUAUAUUUUCCAAGGUCAGCCCUUCCUGCCAACCUUUCCUGUAACACAAAAGUGCACAUAGAAGUACACAGGUAGGAAAGUAGUUGAAGUGAAUUAUCCUUGUUCAAACAAUAAUUUGUUGGGACUAAAUAGUACACACUAUGCAAUAUUAUACAUUACAAAUAGCCAUAAU